UACGUAGGGACCAAGCGUUGUUCGGAUUUACUGGGCGUAAAGGGCGCGUAGGCGGCAAUUCAAGUCAGCUGUGAAAUCUCCGGGCUUAACUCGGAACGGUCAGCUGAUACUGCCUUGCUAGAGUGCAGAAGGGGCAAUCGGAAUUCUUGGUGUAGCGGUGAAAUGCGUAGAUAUCAAGAGGAACACCUGAGGUGAAGACGGGUUGCUGGGCUGACACUGACGCUGAGUGCGCGAAAGCUAGGGUAGCAAACGGG
rnacentral:rRNA from 1 species